rnacentral:lncRNA from 1 species
GGGUUUUUGCCUCAGAAGCGGACAACUCGAAAAUGGCAUUUCGUUUCAUGAUUGAUGGAGAUCGAAAUUGAUCCUAGCUGAGUUGUAUUAUUUUAGUUGGCCAUUUAUGCAAUCUCGAAUCUUAUCAUGGAGCAGCACAUCUGAGGGUUCAAAUUGAGCUCACUCAGCCAUGCAAUUCUAGUCACUGUCUGGUCCAAUUGUCCAUCUGCUGGUUUCUUUUUCUUUUCCAUCACCUAAUCCAUGUCUAAGUGCUGCCAUUUUUCGUAAUCGCAGGGUCCAUUGUUGCCCAAGUGCUCAUGGGAAGCGAGACGAAGUUUGCCUUGGGCUCAUUGGAAAUAUCUCGCAGAAGAUGCAUCCUGUUUGCUGGAAAAUAGUACAAGGGUUGUGGGACUCGAUAUUGAUCGGCACAGGUUUGUUUAUGAAAGCGAGAAUUAAGUCUUGAUUUCAAAACGAAGAGAUAUGAUUGCAGACCUGCUGGCUCCUUCGGCUUCUCCGGUGCUUUGGCUUUUGUUCCUGUUCUCUGACAGCUGGGGCCCGAGCAACCAAUCGAUUUCACUACGCUCCAGGACGACCAGUCUGCUGAUAGAGAGAGAGAGAGAGAACUCCGGUGCUCCGCUCAUCGCCUGCUCGUUACCCGACAAACUCUCCACUUCAUUGGAGUACGAUGGCUCCGCAGUGAGAGAGAUUCUGGGAAGCACCUACAGACCAGAAACUUCAACCACCACUUGUCUUAUCAAUCUGCCACGCACGGGGAUCACGUAAGGAACGGAUUCCUCCUCAUCCAUUGCAGGUACCGCUGCACCAGAUGAUUCUUCAUGUUGGAGUAUACGAUCGUAUUUGUGCGGUGCACUUGGAACGCCACGUUCAUCACGUAAUCCGAAUCGAAGUCCAGGUUGCCAAAUCACCACCGUUGGAUACUGGGAAGACGGCCGUGGUGUCCCCAUCAAGCCAACCCAUCUGAUGGUUACUCGAUACCCAAGUACGUGACCCGUUCCACGACCCUUGCGGCACAUAUGUACUGAGAGCAACUCGGUACUGCCAGAUCAAAGAUCGAACGGUGGGAGCUCUCCCUAACAAACCAUUUUACCGGAUUGGCAGCGUUGGAGCUCCCAAUUCAUAGCCUCCAUGUAAGAGGACACGACUCCAUCGCCUCGUCUGCUGAACUUUUCAUGUAAGAGGACAUCUGCCAUGGGGCCCGUAGCCAUGUGACCAGAUUCAUAGACGUUGCCCUGUGGGGCAAGCCUCGAGAAAGCCCACGGAUCUGAAUGCUAACCCCCUCCUGCAAGAGACGACUCUACAGUAUCCGCCAAAGUUGAGAAUACCAAAAGCAUGGACAAGACGUGCGGUUGGGACGGGUGAGAGGGUAGCAUGCAGCACGCGUGGAAUUAGCGUCGGCAAUAUUAGAAUGGCGGCAUCCCAGAGGAAUCGCAGUAAAAGUGGGUUGCGUGAGGCAUCAGCUUGCGGCCGGGCAGAAAGGGUCCCACAUGAGAGGCUGACGUGGCUUGCAGAAUCUAGUCCAUCUCGUCUCUGCCAAUGGUAUCUCAUCUCCCACGUGACCGCCGGCCCC